UAGAAAUUAGAAUCCAUAUUUUAUCCUUAAACUAUAAGGAUUUGCUUACUUGUAGGCUCUUGACGCCCUGUAAGGUCACUACCAUUGCCGCAUAUUAAGUAAAUAUUACACAAACUUCACUAACACAUACAAAUACGAUCUACUCCUCGAAAUAUGUAAGGCAGUUAUUUGCAUUAAUGCGAUUGCAGUAUUUGUGGCUGUACAAGCAACUGACUGUUUAAAAGCCAUUGAACUCUGAUUGAAUUCAUCCACAUUGUCCUUGGUACCCUUGAAACUGGUUCUCCAAAUUGUAGAGGUAUCUAUUACCAAGAUUGGUGCCUGACGAUGAACCAUGCCAAUUUCCCAUAUCACCAGGUGGGUGCAA